GGGUCAGUAGGUUGGUCGUGCCACCGGUACGUACUGGUCUCACUGAUUCCUCCUUCCUGAAGAACCGUAAUGCCAUUAAUUUGGUGUUGCGGGGAAACAGGACUGUUACUUUGAAAAAAUUAGAGUGUUUAAAGCAAGCUAACGCUUGAAUGCAUUAGCAUGGAAUAAUGGAAUAGGACGAUCGAUCCUAUUUUGUUGGUUUCUAGGAUUGACGUA
rnacentral:rRNA from 1 species